AAAAGCACGGGCCGGGAAUGGAAAGACCGGUACAAGCGGGGUAGGAGUACAAUAGGCAAAUCCGUUGUAUGAUCCGAAGACGUGAUGUGGAGCGAAAUAAAGUAGUGAAGCGUGUGAGCCAUGUGCCGAGAAAAGCUGCUAUUGUGUAAUGCGUGCCCGUACCGUAAACCGACACAGGUGGAUGAGGAGAGAAUCCUAAGGCCGACGGAAGAAGCAUUGUUAAGGAAUUCGGCAAAAUGACACCGUAACUUCGGGAGAAGGGGUGCCUGCGAGAGCAGGCCGCAGAGAAUAGGCUCAAGCAACUGUUUAGCAAAAACACAGGUCUAUGCGAAACCGAAAGGUGAAGUAUAUGGGCUGACGCCUGCCCGGUGCUGGAAGGUUAAGAGGAGAGGUUAGCGAAAGCGAGGCUUUGAAUUUAAGCCCCAGUAAACGGCGGCCGUAACAAUAACGGUCCUAAGGUAGCGAAAUUCCUUGUCGGGUAAGUUCCGACCCGCACGAAAGGCGUAAUGAUUUGAGCACUGUCUCGACAAUGCAUCCGGUGGAAUUGAAGUACCAGUGAAGAUGCUGGUUACCCGCGCCAGGACGGAAAGACCCCAUGGAGCUUUACUCCAGUUUGAUACUGGGAUUCGGUACUGCAUGUACAGGAUAGGUGGGAGACGGAGAAGGAUGGACGCCAGUCUGUCCGGAGUCGCUGUUGGGAUACCACCCCUGUAGUACUGGGUUUCUAACCAGUUACCAUGAUCUGGUAAUGGGACAAUGUCAGGCGGGGAGUUUGACUGGGGCGGUCGCCUCCGAAAGGGUAUCGGAGGCGCUCAAAGGUUCCCUCAGAAUGGUUGGAAACCAUUUGAAGAGUGCAAAGGCAGAAGGGAGCUUGACUGCGACACCGACGGGUGGAGCAGGUACGAAAGUAGGACUUAGUGAUCCGGUGGUAUAAAGUGGGAUUGCCAUCGCUCAACGGAUAAAAGCUACCCUGGGAUAACAGGCUUAUCACUCCCAAGAGUUCACAUCGACGGAGUGGUUUGGCACCUCGAUGUCGGCUCAUCGCAUCCUGGGGCUGUAGCAGGUCCCAAGGGUUGGGCUGUUCGCCCAUUAAAGCGGUACGCGAGCUGGGUUCAGAACGUCGUGAGACAGUUCGGUCCCUAUCCGGCGCGGGCGGAGGAUAUUUGAGAGGAGCUGUCCUUAGUACGAGAGGACCGGGAUGGACGGACCACUGGUGUAUCUGUUGUCGACCAACGGCAUGGCAGAGUAGCCAAGUCUGGAAGGGAUAAACGCUGAGGGCAUCUAAGCGUGAAGCCCCCCUCAAGAUGAGAUAUCCCUCCUUCGGGAGUAAGACCCCUUGAAGACUACAAGGUAGAUAGGGCAGAGGUGGAAGCAUGGCAACAUGUGGAGCUGACUGUUACUAAUAGGUCGAGGGCUUAAUU
rnacentral:rRNA from 1 species